GGACCAAACAGUCCAACUGGCAAGGAUUCCUCCGACAAUAUACAGUGAAGCUCCUGAAGUUCAAUGCAAUAAGAAGUGCUUCAUUGGCGUGGCAAAGUGGGAACCUCCUGCAGAUUUAGAAGUGGUGGCACCCCUCUUGCAGCAACAUGUAGCAGCAUACGGUUGGGCCAUCAAUGAAUCCAAGGUCCAAGGGCCUGGAUUAGCUGCCAAAUUCUUGGGAGUUAUCUGGUCAGGUGACAGCAAGCAAUAGGGAGCCAGAACCGCAUGGAAUUUGGUUUGAAAUGUCCUCCUCACCCAGCCCCAUCCACCACCACCUACUUGGGCUCAGAACCCUUAUUUUUUAGUGAAAAGAUGGCAGGACUGAGGCUUAUGAAAUCUGAACAUGAGUUCUUGUUCGUUCAUUAACAGUGAGACCUGCAACAACUCACUUGCCUGCUUGGAAGCCUCCUUUCUUCCUCUGUAAAAUGGGGAUGAUCCUUUAAUACCAGCUUUGCAGGUUACUGGAGAAUCACAUGAAAUAAUGUACACUGUGAAGUGUGAAGGCAGUGUUGGUUGUUAUUAACACCAGCAGCCUGACCUUGAACCAGGCAACCAAAUGCUCUGUCUCAGAGCCCUCAUCUAUGAGAUGAGUGAGGGGAUUACAUCAUGGUACACAGGCUCUGUGAGAACCACGUAGGAGGCAUGUUAAAAUUCAGAUUCCGGGCCUGCCGUGGUUUAGAUAUUUGACCCUCCAAACAUCUUGUUGAAAUUCAACCCCUAAUAUUAGAGGUAGGGCCUAACGGGAGGUGUCUGGGUCAUGGGGGCCGAUCCUUCAUGAAUGGCUUGGUGCCAGUUGUUGAGGUAAUGAGUGAAUUCUUGCUCUAUCAGUUACCAUGACACUUGAUUGCUUCCUCUCUGGCUAUGUGACCUCUGUAUACACCAGGUCCUCUUCCCCUUCUACCAAGAGCUUGUCCCAUGGUGAGCUGAAGCCCUCACCAGAAGCAGAUGCUGGUACCAUGCUUCUUGUACAGCCUGCAGAACCGUGAGCCAAAUAAACUUCUCUUCUUUAUA
rnacentral:lncRNA from 10 species